rnacentral:rRNA from 1 species
UACGUAGGGUGCGAGCGUUAAUCGGAAUUACUGGGCGUAAAGCGUGCGCAGGCGGUUCGUUGUGUCGGCGGUGAAAGCCCCGGGCUCAACCUGGGAAUGGCCGUUGAAACUGGCGAACUGGAGUGUGGCAGAGGGGGGUGGAAUUCCGCGUGUAGCAGUGAAAUGCGUAGAGAUGCGGAGGAACACCGAUGGCGAAGGCAGCCCCCUGGGAUAACACUGACGCUCAUGCACGAAAGCGUGGGGAGCAAACAGG